AGAGUUUGAUCCUGGCUCAGAUUGAACGCUGGCGGCAGGCUUAACACAUGCAAGUCGAACGGUAACAGAACUAGCUUGCUAGUUGCUGACGAGUGGCGGACGGGUGAGUAACGCGUAGGAAUCUACCGAGUAGUGGGGGACAACAGUUGGAAACGACUGCUAAUACCGCAUAAUCCCUGAGGGGGAAAGGAGGGGAUCUGUUUACAGACCUUUCGCUAUUUGAUGAGCCUGCGUGAGAUUAGCUAGUUGGUGAGGUAAUGGCUCACCAAGGCGACGAUCUCUAGCUGGUCUGAGAGGAUGAUCAGCCACACUGGAACUGAGACACGGUCCAGACUCCUACGGGAGGCAGCAGUGGGGAAUAUUGCACAAUGGGGGAAACCCUGAUGCAGCCCUGCCGCGUGUGUGAAGAAAGCCUUCGGGUUG
rnacentral:rRNA from 1 species